UGGGGAAUAUUGGACAAUGGGGGGAACCCUGAUCCAGCCAUGCCGCGUGUGUGAAGAAGGCCUUAUGGUUGUAAAGCACUUUAAGCGAGGAGGAGGGUACUGGUAUUAAUACUACCAGGUACUGGACGUUACUCGCAGAAUAAGCACCGGCUAACUCUGUGCCAGCAGCCGCGGUAAUACAGAGGGUGCGAGCGUUAAUCGGAUUUACUGGGCGUAAAGCGUGCGUAGGCGGCUAAUUGAGUCGGAUGUGAAAUCCCCGAGCUUAGCUUGGGGAUUGCAUUCGAUACUGGUUAGCUAGAGUGUGGGAGAGGAUGGUAGAAUUCCAGGUGUAGCGGUGAAAUGCGUAGAGAUCUGGAGGAAUACCGAUGGCGAAGGCAGCCAUCUGGCCUAACACUGACGCUGAGGUACGAAAGCAUGGGGAGCAAACAGG
rnacentral:rRNA from 1 species